rnacentral:rRNA from 1 species
UACGAAGGGGGGCGAGCGUUGUUCGGAUUUACUGGGCGUAAAGGGCGCGCAGCGGCCGCAUUUGUCAGGCGUGAAAGCCCCGGGCUUAACCUGGGAACUGCGUUUGAUACGGUGUGGCUAGAGUUCGGGAGAGGAGAGUGGAAUUCCCAGUGUAGAGGUGAAAUUCGUAGAUAUUGGGAAGAACACCGGUGGCGAAGGCGGCUCUCUGGACCGAGACGUGACGCUGAGGCGCGAAAGCGUGGGGAGCAAAGCAGGAUUAAGAAACCCGAGGUAG